GCCCGGUUAGCUCAAUCGGUAGAGCGUGAGACUCUUAAAUGGACACACGUUCUGUAAUCUCAAGGUUGCGGGUUCGACCCCCGCAUUGGGCU